CUUAUAACAGAUCAUCGGCAGUUAACUGCAGCCGGUUUCUUCAGAAUUCGGUAGUUAACUGCCGAGGGAUAU
rnacentral:pre_miRNA from 1 species